AACGAACGCUGGCGGCGUGCCUAAUACAUGCAAGUCGAACGCAGUGGGGACGGGUGAGUAACAUGUGGGUAACCUCCCAUCAGAGGGGAUAACACUUGGAAACAGGUGCUAAACCGAUACUGAUGGAUGGACCCGCGUGUCAUUAGCUAGUUGGUGAGGGAACGGCUCCCCAAGGCCACGAUGCAUAGCUGACCUGAGAGGGUGAUCGGCCACACGGGGACUGAGACACGGCCCAGACUCCGACGGGAGGCAGCAGUAGGGAAUCUUCGGCAAUGGGCGAAAGCCUGACCGAGCAAUGCCGCGUGAGUGAAGAAGGUCUUCGGAUCGUAAAGCUCUGUCGUUAGAGAAGCGGUAUCUACCAAGAAAGCAACGGCUAACUACGUGCCAGCAGCCGCGGUAAUUC
rnacentral:rRNA from 1 species